GGUCUUAUUCUAUGUUUUAUUAAUAUUAUAAAUUGAAUUAGAGUAAAUUAUAUAAACAUGAUAUAUUAUAUAUUAUAUAUAAUAUAAAAUUAAUAAUUGUACUAUGUUAAUAUAUAUUAUUUAUUAUUAAAUAUUAUAAUAAAUUAUUUUAUUAAAUUUAAGUUGAAGUGGAAUUUUCAAAAAUGUUAUAAAUUUAUUAAUAAUUAAAAAUUUAUAAAUUUAUUAAAAUUUAUUUUUAUCAAAUUUAUAAGUUUAUUAUAAUAAAUUAUUUUUAUUAAUUGUUNN
rnacentral:lncRNA from 1 species